CAUCAUCAUUCACCUCGAUUCAAAUAUGAUGUUUUUUUAAGUUUUCACGGCAAUGACACCCGUGAUAAUUUUACAAAUCAUUUAUAUUCCGAGUUGAUAGGCAAUGUCAUUAAGGCCUAUAGGGAUGAAGAAGGAAUUGAGCAAGGAACAUUCGUCGCCCCAGAGCUCAUGAAAGCAAUAAAAGAAUCCAAGUUCGCAAUUGUCGUCCUUUCAGAAAACUAUGCUUUACUCAGGAUGGUGCUUGAAUGAACUUGCCUAGAUUGUUGCAUGCAUAGAAGAGACGGGUCUAAAAGUUAUCUUUUAUCAUGUGGAUCCCUCUAAUGUAAGGCAGCAAAAUGGAACUUUUGCUUUAGCCUUUGCUAAACAUGAAGAGGACUCCAGAGUUAAGAGUGAGAAGAUACAAACAUGGAAAGAUGCUUUGAAAUGCGUGAUCCAUAUUGCCGGGUUUGUUGUAGAAGAUAGCACAUCUGAAUCAACAGUUGUCCAGCAUAUCAGUGGAGACAUAAAGCGUGAAUUGUAUGCAUCAUUUGUUGGAGGGGCCUUUCUGGAAGCAAAGCUUGGAGAAGUAUUUGGGGUGUUGCAUGACACAGUUAAGAAUGUGGGAAGCAAAGUCCUCACGUUCAAAUCCUUCUUUAAAAACUUCGAAUCCAAUCUAGAUCUUUUAGCACCUGUGGUCGAAGAGGUAAAAGAAAAACUUGAUUGCCCAGAACAGGAAACACGGAGCUUGAUCAAAAAAAUGAAGGAUGUCAAGCAGCUCAUUGACAUGUGCUCAGAUAUCGGAGAUAUGAACAAAUUUUCCGCAUUUACACCAACAAACUAAUGAAUUUGGAUGAGGCCAUUGUGAGGUUCUGUAAGGUUCAUAUGAAUGCACAGAACAGGGGAUAUUUUGCAGAUUUUGGAUUAGUGGAAACCUACUCAGGAGGAAAUGAAGUUGCCCAUCCUGAAGAUAGGUAGGUUGUCAUGCUCAGUUCCUAGACCCCCGGAUUUUACUGUUGGGCUGGAUGUGCCUCUGAAAGUGUUGAAAACUCAGCUGUUGAAGGAGAAGCAGCAGCAACUUCUACUGACUGCUCGUGGCGUAUGCGGGAAGACUGCAUUUGUGAAAAUGCUAGGUCAUGACAAGGAAAUUAUUGGCAAAUUGAAGGAUAAUUUUUUUGGCCCCGUUUCUAAAAUUCUCAACCUGAUGGUCAUUGUGCAAAGACUAUUUCAUCAUAUAUGUGGUCAGGAGCCUGAGUUCCUAAGUGAUGAAGAUGCAAUCUACCAGCUGCAGGAACUGUUGACAAAAAUUGGAUCCACUCCUAUAUUAUUGAUCUUGGAUGAUGUUUGGUCUGGAUCAGAAUUCGGUCUUGAAAAGUUUAAGUUUGAUAUGCCAAAAUACAAUAUUCUGGUGACCUCAAGAACUAUAUUUCCAGAAUUUAGCUUUACAUAUAACUUAAAAUCGUGAAAUGAUGAAGAUGCAACGACUCUGCUUCGUCACUCAGCAUCUCUACAAGAAUUCCAGUUUAAAUUAUUGAAAAGAUAGUGAGACGCUGUGGGAGGUUCCCACUGGCCCUUGAAGUGAGUGGCAAAUCACUCAAAGAGAAGCCUGUGGAGGUUUGGCGCAGUAGAGCUAGGAAAUGGUCUAAUGGUCAUUCUAUUCUCAAGUCUAGUCCUGAUCUGCUUCAAUGUCUUCAUAAAAGCCUAGAAUUUUCGGAUGAUGAGGACAUUUUGAAAGAGUGUUUUAUGGAUCUAGCUUCAUUUCCUGAAGGCCAUGAAGGCCAUGGUUACUUUUCCUACCCUAAUUGAUAUGUGGGCUGAAUUACAUGAACUAGAUGAACAUGGCAAUGGUGCCAUUGACAAUUUACAUGAACUCACCUCCCGGAAUCUGGCUACUCUAGUGAGGACAAGGAAAGAAUCGAAAUAUACAAGUGAGAACAACAAUUAUUAUACUUGUUGUUAUGAAGACUUUGUCACACAACAUGAUCCUAUUAGAGAGCUAGCUAUUUAUGAGGGCAGCCGGGGGGCCAAUCGGACAAAGGAAACGAUUGUUUAUGGACAUAAAUAAAAACACUCUACCGAAGUGGUGUACGAAAAAGGAUCAGCACCUCAUCAAUGCCCGCCUAUUAUCU